UACAGAGGGUGCAAGCGUUAAUCGGAAUUACUGGGCGUAAAGCGUGCGUAGGCGGUUCGUUAAGUCUGUUGUGAAAGCCCCGGGCUCAACCUGGGAAUGGCAAUGGAUACUGGCGAGCUAGAGUGUGUCAGAGGAUGGUGGAAUUCCCGGUGUAGCGGUGAAAUGCGUAGAGAUCGGGAGGAACAUCAGUGGCGAAGGCGGCCAUCUGGGACAACACUGACGCUGAGGCACGAAAGCCAGGGGAGCGAACGGG
rnacentral:rRNA from 1 species